GGGCGUGUAGCUCAGCUGGUUAGAGCACUUGCUCGACAUGCAAGGGGUCACAGGUUCGAAUCCUGUCACGCCCACCA
rnacentral:tRNA from 1 species